rnacentral:rRNA from 3 species
UACGUAGGGUGCGAGCGUUAAUCGGAAUUACUGGGCGUAAAGCGUGCGCAGGCGGCGCGUUAAGACAGGUGUGAAAGCCCCGAGCUUAACUUGGGAAUUGCGCUUGUGACUGGCGUGCUGGAGUGUGGCAGAGGGAGGUGGAAUUCCACGUGUAGCAGUGAAAUGCGUAGAGAUGUGGAGGAACACCGAUGGCGAAGGCAGCCUCCUGGGCCAGCACUGACGCUCAUGCACGAAAGCGUGGGGAGCAAACAGG